rnacentral:rRNA from 1 species
GUGAGUAACACGUGGAUAACCUACCUAUAAGACUGGGAUAACUUCGGGAAACCGGAGCUAAUACCGGAUAAUAUAUUGAACCGCAUGGUUCAAUAGUGAAAGACGGUUUUGCUGUCACUUAUAGAUGGAUCCGCGCCGCAUUAGCUAGUUGGUAAGGUAACGGCUUACCAAGGCAACGAUGCGUAGCCGACCUGAGAGGGUGAUCGGCCACACUGGAACUGAGACACGGUCCAGACUCC